rnacentral:rRNA from 1 species
CCUACGGGUGGCAGCAGUGAGGAAUAUUGGUCAAUGGACGAGAGUCUGAACCAGCCAAGUAGCGUGAAGGAUGACUGCCCUAUGGGUUGUAAACUUCUUUUAUAUGGGAAUAAAACGUUCCACGUGUGGGAUUUUGUAUGUACCAUAUGAAUAAGGAUCGGCUAACUCCGUGCCAGCAGCCGCGGUAAUACGGAGGAUCCGAGCGUUAUCCGGAUUUAUUGGGUUUAAAGGGAGCGUAGGUGGAUUGUUAAGUCAGUUGUGAAAGUUUGCGGCUCAACCGUAAAAUUGGAGUUGAAACUGGCAGUCUUGAGUACAGUAGAGGUGGGCGGAAUUCGUGGUGUAGCGGUGAAAUGCUUAGAUAUCACGAAGAACUCCGAUUGCGAAGGCAGUUCACUGGACUGCAACUGACACUGAGGCUCGAAAGUGUGGGUAUCAAACAGGAUUAGAUACCCCAGUAGUC